GUUAGUGGCGGACGGGUGAGUAACGCGUGAGAAUCUGCCCUCAGGAGGGGGAUAACGGUUGGAAACGACCGCUAAUACCCCAUAUGCCGCGAGGUGAAAUGAAUUUCGCCUGAGGAUGAGCUCGCGUCUGAUUAGCUAGUUGGUGGGGUAAGAGCCUACCAAGGCUUCGAUCAGUAGCUGGUCUGAGAGGAUGAUCAGCCACACUGGGACUGAGACACGGCCCAGACUCCUACGGGAGGCAGCAGUGGGGAAUUUUCCGCAAUGGGCGAAAGCCUGACGGAGCAACGCCGCGUGAGGGAUGAAGGCCUCUGGGCUGUAAACCUCUUUUAUCAAGGAAGAAGAUCUGACGGUACUUGAUGAAUAAGCCACGGCUAAUUCCGUGCCAGCAGCCGCGGUAAUACGGGAGUGGCAAGCGUUAUCCGGAAUUAUUGGGCGUAAAGCGUCCGCAGGCGGUCUUACAAGUCUGUCGUUAAAGCGUGGAGCUUAACUCCAUUUCGGCGAUGGAAACUGUAAGACUAGAGUGUGGUAGGGGCAGAGGGAAUUCCCGGUGUAGCGGUGAAAUGCGUAGAUAUCGGGAAGAACACCAGUGGCGAAGGCGCUCUGCUGGGCCAUAACUGACGCUCAUGGACGAAAGCUAGGGGAGCGAAAGGGAUUAGAUACCCCUGUAGUCCUAGCCGUAAACGAUGAACACUAGGUGUCGGGGGAAUCGACCCCCUCGGUGUCGUAGCCAACGCGUUAAGUGUUCCGCCUGGGGAGUACGCACGCAAGUGUGAAACUCAAAGGAAUUGACGGGGGCCCGCACAAGCGGUGGAGUAUGUGGUUUAAUUCGAUGCAACGCGAAGAACCUUACCAGGGUUUGACAUCCUGCGAAUCCCUUGGAAACUUGGGAGUGCCUUCGGGAGCGCAGUGACAGGUGGUGCAUGGCUGUCGUCAGCUCGUGUCGUGAGAUGUUGGGUUAAGUCCCGCAACGAGCGCAACCCACGUCUUUAGUUGCCAGCAUUCAGUUGGGCACUCUAGAGAGACCGCCGGUGAUAAACCGGAGGAAGGUGUGGAUGACGUCAAGUCAUCAUGCCCCUUACAUCCUGGGCUACACACGUACUACAAUGCUACGGACAAAGGGCAGCAAACUCGCGAGAGCUAGCCAAUCCCAUAAACCGUGGCUCAGUUCAGAUCGUAGGCUGCAACUCGCCUACGUGAAGGAGGAAUCGCUAGUAAUCGCAGGUCAGCAUACUGCGGUGAAUACGUUCCCGGGCCUUGUACACACCGCCCGUCACACCAUGGAAGUUGGCCACGCCCGAAGUCGUUACUCCAACCCUUGUGGAGGAGGAUGCCGAAGGUGGGGCUGAUGACUGGGGUGAAGUCGUAACAAGGUAGCCGUACCGGAAGGUGCGGCUGGAUCACCUCCU
rnacentral:rRNA from 1 species